CAGCACCCUGUGGCUCCCACAG
rnacentral:miRNA from 1 species